UACGAAGGGGGCUAGCGUUGUUCGGAAUUACUGGGCGUAAAGCGCACGUAGGCGGAUUUGUAAGUUAGGGGUGAAAUCCCGGGGCUCAACCUCGGAACUGCCUUUGAUACUGCAAGUCUCGAGUCCGGAAGAGGUGAGUGGAAUUCCUAGUGUAGAGGUGAAAUUCGUAGAGUAUUAGGAAGAACACCAGUGGCGAAGGCGGCUCACUGGUCCGGUACUGACGCUGAGGUGCGAAAGCGUGGGGAGCAAAGCAGGG
rnacentral:rRNA from 1 species